rnacentral:rRNA from 1 species
GAAUUCGCCCUUAGAGUUUGAUCCUGGCUCAGGACGAACGCUGGCGGCGCGCCUAACACAUGCAAGUCGAACGAGCGAGAGAGAGCUUGCUUUCUCGAGCGAGUGGCGAACGGGUGAGUAACGCGUGAGGAACCUGCCUCAAAGAGGGGGACAACAGUUGGAAACGACUGCUAAUACCGCAUGAGCCCACGACCCGGCAUCGGGUAGAGGGAAAAGGAGCAAUCCGCUUUGAGAUGGCCUCGCGUCCGAUUAGCUAGUUGGUGAGGUAAUGGCCCACCAAGGCGACGAUCGGUAGCCGGACUGAGAGGUUGAACGGCCACAUUGGGACUGAGACACGGCCCAGACUCCUACGGGAGGCAGCAGUGGGGAAUAUUGCACAAUGGGGGAAACCCUGAUGCAGCGACGCCGCGUGGAGGAAGAAGGUCUUCGGAUUGUAAACUCCUGUUGUUGAGGAAGAUAAUGACGGUACUCAACAAGGAAGUGACGGCUAACUACGUGCCAGCAGCCGCGGUAAAACGUAGGUCACAAGCGUUGUCCGGAAUUACUGGGUGUAAAGGGAGCGCAGGCGGGAAGACAAGUUGGAAGUGAAAUCCAUGGGCUCAACCCAUGAACUGCUUUCAAAACUGUUUUUCUUGAGUAGUGCAGAGGUAGGCGGAAUUCCCGGUGUAGCGGUGGAAUGCGUAGAUAUCGGGAGGAACACCAGUGGCGAAGGCGGCCUACUGGGCACCAACUGACGCUGAGGCUCGAAAGUGUGGGUAGCAAACAGGAUUAGAUACCCUGGUAGUCCACACUGUAAACGAUG